UCUGCGGCAGAGACUCUGCCUCGCUCUGCGCGCAACGGCGUCAAUUCUCCCUCGCCGGCGUCCUAGUUGCUCCCCUCCAGCCCGGCCCCCUGCGUCGACCUCGCCUCCUUUACUAUCCCACGGUGCUCCGGCUACCUGGGGUGUGGUGCUGCUGCUGGCCUGGUCUGGCCGUGGCCUCCUGCACCAUGGUGCGGUGGUAGGCUGUGGAUGACCCCUCUGCUUCGACUACGACAUCUACGGCUUCCCCCUCGGCACACAGAUUUGCAAAGAGAUGCAAAUUGUCAAGUGAAGUAAGUUCAGACUGCAGAAGUAAGAAGGAUGCAGGGUUCAUGCAGUUUUAUAUGUGUAUUCAAAAUAUGAAUGUAUGUAACCAAGUUGUACCAUGAUGUAGAUUCAUUUGAUGUCAGGAUGUAAAUUUAUUUCCACAUAUAUUCUUUGUUACUUACUGUCGGGAUGUAUUUUAGUUCAAACAAGGUUGUGUGCUUUUUGCUCCUUCAAAAAGGGAAGAGCACUUCUAGAUCUGCAAUAUGAUAGAUCACAGGUGAUUUUUGUUU